GACGAACGCUGGCGGCGUGCCUAAUACAUGCAAGUAGAACGCAGUUGCGAACGGGUGAGUAACGCGUAGGUAACUGCCUCAUAGCGGGGGAUAACUAUUGGAAACGAUAGCUAAUACCGCAUACUGUGAGAUGGACCUGCGUUGUAUUAGCUAGUUGGUGAGGUAAAGGCUCACCAAGGGGACGAUACAUAGCCGACUUGAGAGGGUGUACGGCCACACUGGGACCUGGACACGGCCCCAACUUCUACGGGAAGCAGCCGUUGGGAAUCAUUGGCAAUGGACGGAAGUCUGGCCGAGCAACGCCGCGUGAGUGAAGAAGGUUUUCGGGUCGUAAAGCUCUGUUGUUAGAGAAGCGGUAACUACCCAGAAAGGGACGGCUAACUACGUGCCAGCCGCCGCGGUAAUAC
rnacentral:rRNA from 1 species